UACGGAGGAUCCAAGCGUUAUCCGGAUUUAUUGGGUUUAAAGGGUGCGUAGGCGGGUUGUUAAGUCAGGGGUGAAAGCCGGCAGCCUAACUGUCGAAUUGCCCUUGAUACUGGCGACCUUGAAUGUGAUGGAAGUGGGCGGAAUGCGGCAUGUAGCGGUGAAAUGCGUAGAUAUGCCGCAGAACACCGAAAGCGAAGGCAGCUCACUACGUCAUAAUUGACGCUGAUGCACGAAAGCGUGGGUAGCAAACAGG
rnacentral:rRNA from 1 species